rnacentral:miRNA from 1 species
GCGGCAGGGGCAGCGGUGCUCCUGCCCCUCCGCCACCUCCCCCGCAGCCUCU